GCCGCAAUGGCUCAACUGGUAGAGCAACGCACUUGUAAUGCGUAGGUUGAGGGUUCGAGUCCUUCUUGCGGCACCA
rnacentral:tRNA from 1 species